GAUGAACGCUGGCGGCGUGCCUAAUACAUGCAAGUCGAGCGAACAGAUGAGGAGCUUGCUCCUCUGACGUUAGCGGCGGACGGGUGAGUAACACGUGGAUAACCUACCUAUAAGACUGGGAUAACUUCGGGAAACCGGAGCUAAUACCGGAUAAUAUAUUGAACCGCAUGGUUCAAUAGUGAAAGACGGUUUUGCUGUCACUUAUAGAUGGAUCCGCGCCGCAUUAGCUAGUUGGUAAGGUAACGGCUUACCAAGGCAACGAUGCGUAGCCGACCUGAGAGGUGGAUCGGCCACACUGGAACUGAGACACGGUCCAGACUCCUACGGGAGGCAGCAGUAGGGAAUCUUCCGCAAUGGGCGAAAGCUUGACGGAGCAACGCCGCGUGAGUGAUGAAGGUCUUCGGAUCGUAAAACUCUGUUAUUAGGGAAGAACAAAUGUGUAAGUAACUAUGCACGUCUUGACGGUACCUAAUCAGAAAGCCACGGCUAACUACGUG
rnacentral:rRNA from 1 species